AACAUUUAAAAUUUAAAUGAAUGACGAUCGGGGUCUGAGGACCUGCUGCAGCCUUCAUCCGUCUUCACAGCCGUUGGAUUACAAGCCAUCGCCUCCUCCAACUGAUCCGCUGUGGAGGAUUUCUUGUUUCACCAGAGCCU